GUCGGACUUUAAUGUCUACCAGGCCAGCACGCUGUUUUGUGUCUUUUAGUUGUCGCGGUGUUCCGUGAGAGGAACCUAACAGAAAAGAGAAGGAGCCGGAAAAAAGAGAGAAACGCAAAGCAGCAGCCUGAACAUUUGGAAACCUCGAAACGAGGAAGUUGUAGUGGAGCGCGUGAGAAGCAUGUUCAGCUCGGUGAAGCGGGAGCAAGGCGGUGUGCGGGAUUAACUGGUUUUUGAAUUAACUGGUUUUGUUACGCGUGCAUGAGGCAGAUGUGCCGUAGGAGUGGCCUCGAGUUGCCUCUCAGGACCCGUCUCGACUAACUAGGAAAUGCACAUUUCCAUCGCUUAGCCUCUCUGUCACGUUCUUUUUAUGUAACGCUAAUGUUUUAAAGAUGCCUGUUCAAUAUACUACUAACUUCAAUAAAUACUUGACAAAAUG